UCUCUCUCUACCUCCUCCCCAGCCUGCUACGGUUUAAGGCAACAACCUACCGUCUCCGUCACCAAGCCGGCUUACAGAGACCUUCUCGAGAAGACAGCCAAAGUCACCUGCACGGCCAUUGGUUUGAACCUCAAAAACACAAAGAUCACAUGGCAGGUGGAUGGCCAGCCCAGCGCUGAUGUCCCGGACAACAUGGCCCAACCCAAUGCCAUUGAAGGUCCCAACGUGACCAGUUCUCACCCAGUCUCUUUGGCACAGUGGAAGAAAGGCACCACCUUCACCUGCAAAGUAGCCGGUGGUUGCUAUGAAGACGUCAUCCAAGCAGUGGAAGUCAAGAAGGAAACCGAGGCCCCUGAGAAGCCUUCCAUCACCCUUGCUCGAGCCUCCCUCGGCGUCUCCCUUGAAAACAGCACCGCCCUGAUCCUUGUCUGUGAUGUGAUCGGUUUCUUCCCAAGAGAAAUUAGCAUCUCAUGGAGGAAGGAUGGUGUACCCCUAAACGAGACACUGUAUGAGAAUGGGGUUGUGACCGCGGCCACCAGGAAUUUAUUCAAGACUUACAGCAUCCUGAAAUUGGGCAGAGAGGAAGCAGGAGGGAAGGGUGGCCGUUACAGCUGUGUGGUCUACCAUUCCUCCUCUGAUACAGAAAUCAUUGCCAGUGAAAAUGUUUCCUUUGGUAAGUGGACCUCCUAAGAGGGGAACAAGUGUAAA